UACGGGGGGAGCAAGCGUUGUUCGGAUUUACUGGGCGUAAAGGGCGCGUAGGCGGCCACUGCAAGUCGGUUGUGAAAUCUCCGGGCUUAACCCGGAAAGGUCAAUCGAUACUGCAGGGCUAGAGUGCGGAAGGGGCAACUGGAAUUCUCGGUGUAGCGGUGAAAUGCGUAGAUAUCGAGAGGAACACCUGCGGCGAAGGCGGGUUGCUGGGCCGACACUGACGCUGAAGUGCGAAAGCUAGUGGAGCGAACGGG
rnacentral:rRNA from 1 species